rnacentral:rRNA from 1 species
UACGUAGGGUGCGAGCGUUAAUCGGAAUUACUGGGCGUAAAGCGUGCGCAGGCGGUUCGUCGUGUCGGUGGUGAAAUCCCCGGGCUUAACCUGGGAAUGGCCAUGGAAACUGGCGAACUGGAGUGCGGCAGAGGGGGGUGGAAUUCCGCGUGUAGCAGUGAAAUGCGUAGAGAUGCGGAGGAACACCGAUGGCGAAGGCAGCUCACAAAACUAUAACUGACGCUGAGGCACGAAAGCGUGGGUAUCAAACAGG